CAGAAUCUUAACAGUGGCCCAGCAAUUAGUACAAUUUAGGAACUACUGGUUUAGCCCAUCCCUCUCAAUAGAAAACAGAUAAGGAAACAGAGACUCAGAAUAAGGAAGAUAUUCUUUUCUAAGAUCAUACAGCUGGUUAUCAUUAAGCUCUGUUCUCCUCUGUCCCUCCUCAUCUAGGUAAUUGCAUUCGACAACAAAUUCUGCAGUGUUAAAGUGAAGGAAAUUGGAUAUAAAAUACCCAACAAUUGUGAUGUGGGCUUUCAGGAAGGUGAUGGUUCAAGAGGCUGGUGUGUACUAUAGGGGAGGCAUAGACGCAAAGACUUGUUGUAUAGCACCUUGUGCUGAAAGCCUAAACUCCUCAAUUUCUCAGGGCACCAAGAAAAAUCUUUGGGCCUGCCUCAAAGGUUGCAGUGGCAGAGAUUCCUCUGGAGUCAAGCAAAAGACGGCUCGAAU
rnacentral:lncRNA from 10 species